CAAAAUUGAAAGUAUUUGUUUUCCAGAGUGCACCAUUACAAAAGUGAUGAAGUUAUCUAUUCAGAAUGGAAGAAAAUACAUGUAAAUCAAAUAUCUCAUGAUGGAGAUGUCUUCAUCAUAAAGACUAUAAACAGUGUGAUAUUAAGAAGACAAAUAACCUAAUUAAGAAAGGAUUUAAAGACUAGGAUAAUUGUUUCUACAAAGAGUAAACAUGAAUAUCUAGUAUGCAUAUGAACAAUCAUUUUAAUCAACCUGUGAAAUACAAAUCAAGAUCACAAUGAGAUGCCACUUCAUAACCACUAGGAUGCGUGUAAUAAAAAGAAGAUGGGCCAGGCACUGAGGCACAUGGCUGUAAUUCCAGCAGCUCAGGAGGCUGAGCCAGGAGGAUUUUGAGUUCAAAGCCAGCCUCAGCAACUACGAGAUGGUAAGCAACUUAGUGGUCUCUAAAGGACUGGGGAUGUGGCUCAAUGGCUGGGUGCCCCUGAGUUCAAUCCCUGGUACAAAAAGAAAAAAGAAAAAUAUGAUGACAAGUUUAAGCUGUGAUGUGGAAAAACUGGAAAUCUCCUACACUGCUGCUAGGAAUUUAAAAUCCUGCCACUUAUUUGGCAAUCAGUGAAGUGUAAAUCAAACAACAAUCAAUCCACAAGACUGAUUUCACAACUCUUUUGUAGGUUUCUACUCAAACUUUGAAAAAACACCAAUCUUCAACAUGCCAAAAGAGCAGCAACAGCAGCAGCAGCAGCAGCAGCAGCAGCAACAACAACAACAACAAUGAAAGAUGAUCUCAUUGGAUAGAAUGGUCAUAAUCAAAAAGACAAAAAAUAACAAAUGCUGGAGGAGUAGAAGAGGAUGGGGGCCUCUUAUAGUCCAUUGACAGGAAUACAAAUUUGUACAGCCACUAUGGCAAAGAGAACAUGGAAUUUCCCCAAAUAUCUGAAAAUAGAACUACCAUAGGAUUCAGCUUUCGCAUUACUGAAUACUAACACAAUGAAAACGAAAUCAGUUUAUCAAAGAGGUCCCUGAACUUCCAUGUUUACCUGCAGCAAUAUUCACAACAGUCAAGCUAUAAAAUCUACUGAAGUGUUCAUUAUUCAAUGAUGGCAGAAGCAAACAUGAUAUAUAUCCACACACAGCUGGAUUUUAAAAGAAUGAAAUAUUGUCAUUUUCACUAACAAGGAUGGAAGUGGAAGCCAUUAUGCUAAAUCAUAUCAACUGGCACCAAAAGAAAAGUACUGCAUUUUCUUAUUCACAUGUGGAAAUCUAAAAAGUUGAUUUAAUAGAAGUAGAGUGUAGAAGAGUAGUAACUAGAGGCCAGGAAGUAUAGGAGCAAGAGGGUCUGCAGAAAAAUUGAAAAGCACAUAUCAAGCUCCAGUUAAGUAGAAGGGAAUAAGUGCUACUCUUCUGAAGCACAGUAGGUAACUAUUGUUUACAAUUUCUGAUGCAUCUUAUAAAGAAUUAGAAGAAUUUGACAGUUCUUAGCAGAAGAAGUUACGAAUGUUUAAGAAGAUGGAAAUAAAAAUUUCCCUGAUUAGGUCAAUCCAUAUUACAUACAUAUAUCAAAUUAUUCUGCCAUACCAAAUAUAUAUAUAUGAUUUUAAAAAAGGUGGUAGUUUUGGAAAUUUUAGGUAUCAAAUGGAAGUAUCUUAUUUCUUCAACUGCAUUGUUCUUCUCUUCUCUUGUCAUAUUAGUAAAAACUGUGUUCUUUAUAUUUAGCUUUACAGUAAAAAUUUUUUAGUAUCACAUUAAAUAAUGUACUAAUAACUAGUACUUUUAAUUAAGUAAAUUUGUAAGAUAAUUUGCAAUGUAAAAUGAUUGGUUGAGAAUAAAAGCACAUUUCAGAGAAUUAAAUAAUUUUAGUUAUUAAUAUUAGACUCAAAAGAAGAAUAAAUCUUUUUUCAUUGUCAAGGGUACCUAAUUAUAAAUAUUACUUUACUGAAAAAAUUGUUAUACUUACGAAGG
rnacentral:lncRNA from 1 species